UACAGAGGCCACGAGCGUUAGGCGGAAUCACUGGGCUUAAAGCGUGUGUAGGUGGAUGACUAAGUACCUUGUGAAAUCCCACGGCUCAACCGUGGAACUGCUUGGUAUACUGGUUGUCUUGAGGCACUCAGGGGCGAGCGGAACAGAUGGUGGAGCGGUGAAAUGCGUAGAUAUCAUCUGGAACGCCAAUGGUGAAGACAGCUCGCUGGGGUGUACUGACACUGAGACACGAAGCCAGGG
rnacentral:rRNA from 1 species